GACGAACGCUGGCGGCGUGCUUAACACAUGCAAGUCGAACGGAAAGGCCCUGCUUUUGUGGGGUGCUCGAGUGGCGAACGGGUGAGUAACACGUGAGUAACCUGCCCUUGACUUUGGGAUAACUUCAGGAAACUGGGGCUAAUACCGGAUAGGAGCUCCUGCUGCAUGGUGGGGGUUGGAAAGUUUCGGCGGUUGGGGAUGGACUCGCGGCUUAUCAGCUUGUUGGUGGGGUAGUGGCUUACCAAGGCUUUGACGGGUAGCCGGCCUGAGAGGGUGACCGGCCACAUUGGGACUGGGAUACGGCCCGGAGUCCUACGGGAGGAAGCGGUGGGGAAUAUUGCACAAUGGGCGGAGGCCUGAUGCAGCAACGCCGCGUGCGGGAUGCCGGCCUUCGGGUGUUAAACCGCUUUCGCCUGUGACGAAGCGUGAGUGACGGUAAUGGGUAAAGAAGCACCGGCUAAUUACGU
rnacentral:rRNA from 1 species